AUUGAACGCUGGCGGCAUGCUUUACACAUGCAAGUCGAGCGGCAGCGCGGGGGCAACCCUGGCGGCGAGCGGCGAACGGGUGAGUAAUGCAUCGGAACGUACCCUGGAGUGGGGGAUAACGCCGCGAAAGCGGCGCUAAUACCGCAUAUGCUCUGAGGAGGAAAGUGGGGGACCGCAAGGCCUCACGCUCUGGGAGCGGCCGAUGUCCGAUUAGCUAGUUGGUGGGGUAAAGGCUUACCAAGGCGACGAUCGGUAGCUGGUCUGAGAGGAUGAUCAGCCACACUGGGACUGAGACACGGCCCAGACUCCUACGGGAGGCAGCAGUGGGGAAUUUUGGACAAUGGGGGCAACCCUGAUCCAGCCAUGCCGCGUGAGUGAAGAAGGCCU
rnacentral:rRNA from 1 species